CGGACCGGGCGGCACGGGUGGAGUAACGCGUAUGCAACCUGCCCGAUACCGGGGUAUAGCCCAUGGAAACGUGGAUUAACACCCCAUAGUACUUUUAUCCUGCAUGGGAUGUGAGUUAAAUGUUCAAGGUAUCGGAUGGGCAUGCGUCCUAUUAGUUAGUUGGCGGGGUAACAGCCCACCAAGACGAUGAUAGGUAGGGGUUCUGAGAGGAAGGUCCCCCACAUUGGAACUGAGACACGGUCCAA
rnacentral:rRNA from 1 species